CUUCUCCAUUUUUCUUGCCAAAAUCGUCUUUCUCCGGACUAAGAUCUCUUAGUGAAGAAAAAGAAAAAGAGAAAGCAAUAUUUUUUUGUUUUAGAUCUGUUGAUGUUGAUCAUGAGCAGGAAUUAAUUAAUGUAAUUAAGCCACACAUUUGUUUAUAAAAUUAUUUAUUUUUUCA